GUGGGGAAUAUUGGACAAUGGGCGAAAGCCUGAUCCAGCCAUGCCGCGUGUGUGAAGAAGGUCUUCGGAUUGUAAAGCACUUUAAGUUGGGAGGAAGGGCAGUAAGUUAAUACCUUGCUGUUUUGACGUUACCGACAGAAUAAGCACCGGCUAACUUCGUGCCAGCAGCCGCGGUAAUACGAAGGGUGCAAGCGUUAAUCGGAAUUACUGGGCGUAAAGCGCGCGUAGGUGGUUUUGUAAGUUGGAGGUGAAAUCCCCGGGCUCAACCUGGGAACUGCUUCCAAAACUGCAUGACUAGAGUACGGUAGAGGGUAGUGGAAUUUCCUGUGUAGCGGUGAAAUGCGUAGAUAUAGGAAGGAACACCAGUGGCGAAGGCGACUACCUGGACUGAUACUGACACUGAGGUGCGAAAGCGUGGGGAGCAAACAGGAUUAGAAACCCCGGUAGUCC
rnacentral:rRNA from 1 species